rnacentral:rRNA from 1 species
AAUCAACGCUGGCGGCGUGCCUCAGACAUGCAAGUCGAACGAUUAAAGCUCUCUUCGGAGAGUGCAUAGAGUGGCGCACGGGUGAGUAACACGUAAGUAAUCUACCCUCGGGUGGGGAAUAACGUCCGGAAACGGACGCUAAUACCGCAUAAUGCAGCGGCACCGCAAGGUGACAGUUGUUAAAGAUUUAUUGCCUGGGGAGGAGCUUGCGGCAGAUUAGCUAGUUGGUAAGGUAAUGGCUUACCAAGGCGACGAUCUGUAACCGGUCUAAGAGGACGGUCGGUCACACUGACACUGAAUAACGGGUCAGACUCCUACGGGAGGCAGCAGUCGGGAAUGUUGGGCAAUGGGCGAAAGCCUGACCCAGCAACGCCGCGUGAAGGAUGAAGUUUUUCGGAAUGUAAACUUCGUAAGAAUGGGAAGAACAAAUGACGGUACCAUUUGUAAGCCCCGGCUAACUACGUGCCAGCCGCCGCCGUAACAC